GCAAAUGUCAUUAUUUCAUUCUUCCUAAUAGUUGAUUACUAUUCCACUGUAUAUAUGUACCACUUCUUUAUACAUUCCUGUGUCAAAGGACAUUUAGGUUAUUUUCAUGUCUUGGCUCUGUCUCUUCAUUCUUCCUGGAGUUAUUUCUCCACUGAUCUCUAGUAGCAUAUUGGGCACCUGCUGACCCGGGGAAUUCAUCUUUCAGUGUCCUAUCUUUUUGCCUUUUCAUACUGUUCAUGGGGUUCUCAAGGCAAGAGUACUGCUGUGGUUUGUGCUCUCUUCUCCAGUGGACAUUUUGUCAUAACUCUCCACUAUGACCUGUCCGUCUUGGGUGGCCCUACACAGCAUGGCUCACAGUUUCAUUGAGUUAGACAAGGCUGUGGUCAUGUGAUCAGAUUGGUUAGUUUUCUGUGAUUGUGGUUUUCCUUCUCUCUGCCUUCUGAUGGAGAAGGAUAAGAGGCUUUUGGAAGCUUCCUGAUGGAAGAGACUGACUGAGGGGGAAACUGGUUCUUGUUCUGUUGGGUGGAGCCAUGCUCAAUAAAUCUUUAAUCCAUUUUUCUGUUGAUGGGUGGGGCUGUGUUCCCUCCUGUUGUUUAACCUGAGGCCGACCUAUAGUGGAGGUAAUGAAGAUAAUGGCGACCUUCAAAAGGCCCCAUGCACACUCUGCUGCACUCAGUGCCCCUGACCCUGCAGCAGGCCACCGCCAACCCACGCCUUUGCUGGGCACUCCUAGACACUCACAGGCAAGUCUGGGUCAGUCUCUUGUGGGGUCACUGCUCCUUUCUCCUGGGUCCUGAUGCACACAAGGUUUUGUUUGUGCCCUUCAAGAGUCUGUUUCCCAGGCCUGUGUGAGUUCUGGAGUCAAAGCAAAAACAAUACCGAGUUGUGGAUGUGACUGGUGUUUGAAGUCAAGUCUGAUGCUGUAAAGAGCAAUAUUGUAUGGAACCUGGAAUAUUAGGUCCAUGAAUCAAGGCAAAUUGGAAGUGGUCAAACAGGAGAUGGCAAGAGUGAACAGUGACAUUUUAGGAAUCAGAGAACAAAUAUGAACUGGAAUGGGUGAAUUUAACUCAGAUGACCAUUCUAUUUACUACUGUGGGCAAGAAUCCCUUAGAAGAAAUGUAGCAGCCAUCAUAGUCAACAAAAGAGUCCAAACUGCAGUACUUGGAUGCAAUCUCAAAAGCGACAGAAUGACCUCUGUUCGUUUCCAAGGCAAACCAUUCAAUUUCACAGUAAUCCUAGUCUAUGCCCCAACCAGCAAUGCUGAAGAAGCUGAAGUUGAACAGUUCUAUGAAGACCUACAAGACCUUCUAGGAUUAACACCCAAAAAAGAUGUGCUUUUCAUUAUAGGGGACUGGAAUGCAAGGAUAGGAAGUCAAGAGAUACCAGGAGUAACAGGCAAAUUUGGCCUUGGAGUACAGAAUGAAGAAGGGCAAAGCCUAACAGUUUUGCCAAGAGAAUGCACUGGUCAUAGCAAACACCCUCUUCCAGCAACACAAGAGAAGACUCUACACGUGGACAUCACCAGAUGGUCAAUAACAAAAUCAGAUUUAUUAUAUUCUUUGCAGCCAAAGAUGGAGAAUCUCUAUACACUCAGCAAAAAUAAGACGGGGAGCUGACUGUGGCUCAGAUCAUGAACUCCUUAUUGCCAAAUUCAGACUUUAACUGAAGAAAGUAGGGAAAACCACUAGACCAUUCAGGUACAACCUAAAUCAAAUUCCUUAUGAUUAUACAGUAGAAGUGAUAAAUAGAUUGAAGGGAUUAGAUCGGACAGACGGAGUGCCUGAAGAACUAUGGACAGAGGUUCAUGACAUUGUACAGGAGGCAGUGAUCAAAACCAUCCCCAAGAAAAGAAAUGCAAAAAGAAAAAAGGGUUGUCUGAGGAGUCCUUACAAAUAGCUGUGAAAAGAAGAGAAGAGAAAGGCAAAGAGAAAAAGAAAGAUAUACCCAUUUGAAUGUACAGUUCCAAAGAAUAGCAAGGAGAGAUAAGAAAGCCUUCCUUAGUGAGGAGUGCAAAGAAAUAGAGGAAAAGAAUAGAAUGGGAAAGACUAGAGAUCUCUUCAAGAAAAUUAGAGAUACCAAGGGAACAUUUCAUACAAAAAUGGGCACAAUGAAGGACAGAAAUGUUAUGGACCUAACAGAAGCAGACGAUAUUAAGAAGAGGUGGCAAGAAUACACAGAAGAACUAUACAAAAAAGAUCAUCAUGACCCAGAUAACCAUAAUUGUGUGAUCACUCAUCUAGAGCCAGACAUCCUGGAGUGCAAAGUCAAGUGGGUCUUAGGAAGCAUCACUACAAACAAAGCUAGUGGAGGUGAUGGAAUUCCAGUUGAGCUAUUUCAAAUCCUAAAAGAUGAUGCUAUGAAAGUGCUGCACUCAAUAGGCCAGCAAAUUUGAAAAACUCAGCAGUAGCCACAGGACGGGAAAAGGUCAGUUUUCAUUCCAAUCCCAAAGAAAGGCAAUGCCAAAGAAUGCUCAAACUACCGCACAAUUGCACUUAUCUCACAUGCUAGCAAAGUAAUGCUCACAAUUCUCAAAGUCAGGCUUCAACAGUACAUGAACCAUGAACUUCCAUAUAUUCAAGCUGGAUUUAGAAAAGGCAGAGGAACCAGAGAUCAAAUUGCCAACAUCUGUUGGAUCAUCAAAAAAGCAAGAGUUCCAGAAAAACAUCUACUUCUGCUUUAUUGACUGUGCCAAAGCCUUUGACUGUGUGGAUCACCACAAACUGUGGAAAAUUCUUCAAGAGAUGGGAAUACCAGACCAGACCACCUGUGCUGCGUCCUGAGAAAUCUGUAUCUAGGUCAAGAGGCAACAGUUAGAACUGGACAUGGAACAACAGACUGGUUCCAUAUCGGGAAAGAAGUACAUCAAGGCUGUAUACUGUCACCCUGCUUAUUUAACUUAUAUGCAGAUUACAUCAUGAGAAAUGCUGGACUGGAUGAAGCACAAGCUGGAAUCAAGAUUUCCGGGAGCAGUAUCAAUAACCUCAAAUAUGCAGGUGACACCACCUUUAUGGCAGAAAUUGAAGAAGAACUAAAGACCCUCUUGAUGAAAGUGAAAGCGAAGAGUGAAAAAGUUAGCUUGAAACUCAACACUCAGAAAACUAAGAUCAUGGCAUCUGGUCCCAUCACUUCAUGGCAAAUAGAUGGGGAAACAAUGGAAACAGUGACAGACUUUAUUUUGGGGGGCUCCAAAAUCACUGCAGAUGGUGACUGCACCCAUGAAAUUAAGAUGCUUGCUCCUUGGAAGAAAAGCUAUGACCAACCUGACAGCCUAUUAAAAAGCAGAGACAUUACUUUGCCAACAAAGGUCCAUAUAGUCAAAGCUAUAAUUUUUCCAGUAGUCAUGUACAGAUGUGAGAGUUGGACCAUAAAGAAGGCUGAGUGCUGAAGAAUUGAUGCUUUUGAACUGUGGUGUUGGAGAAGACUGUUGAGAGUCCCUUGGACAGCAAGCAGAUCUAACCAGUCCAUCCUAAAGGAAAUCAGUCCUAUCAGUCCUAAAUAUUCAUUGGAAGGACUAAUGCUGAAGCUGAGCCUCCAAUACUUUGGCCACCUGAUGUGAAGAAUUAACUCGUUGGAAAAGACUCCUAUGGUGGGUAAGAUUGAAGGCGGGAGGAGAAGGGGAUGGCAGAGGAUGAGAUGGCUGGAUGGCAUCACUGACCCAAUGGACAUGAGUUUGAGUAAACUCCAGGGUUGGUGAUGGACAAGGAGGCCUGGCAUGCUGAAGUCCAUGGGGUCACAAAGAGUCGGAUAUGACUGAGCUACUGAAAUGAACUGAACUGAAUCCCUUAUCAUUUGCAAAUAUUUUGUGUUAAGAAUUUUUGCAUUUUUAUUUGUCAGGGAUAUCAGCCUGGAGUUUUCUUCCUUAGAGUGUCCUUUUCUGGCUUUGGUACCACAUUAUGCUAGCCUCAUAAAAUGACUUUUCGAGUGUUCCUUCCACUUUCAUCUUUUGGAACAAUUUGAGAAGGAUUGGCAUUAAUUCUUCUUUAAAUGCUUGGUAAAAUGUGCUUAGUCGCUCAAGUUGUAUCUGACUCUUUGCGACCCCAUGGGCUGUAGUCUGUCAGGCUCCUCUGUCCACCGGGAUUCUCCAGACAAGAAUACUGGAGUGGGUUGCCAUGCCCUCCUUCAGGGUAUCUUCCCAACCCAGGAAUAGAACCCAGGUGUCCUGUAUUACAGGCAGAUUCUUUACCAUCUGCACCACCAAGGAAGCCCAGAAUUUACAAGAGAAGCGAUUUGGUCUAUAGCUUUUCUUACUGGGAGGUUUUCGAUUAUUGAUUCAAUCUCCUUUCUCAUAGUUCAUUUGUUUGGAUUUUCUAUUUUUUCAUGAUACAGUCUUGUUAAUUUGUAUGUUUCUGAGUGUUUUUUGUUCUUUUUUAACUGAUGGAUGUUUGAAGUUUUUUUUCACACAAAUCCUGAGUUUUAUUGGGGAGCAUGAUUUUGUAAACAUACUUUUUUAUAUAAGUAAGGUUAUGAGAAAAACAAGUUUUAAAGAACUUUGCUAUUGUUAUAAAUUAUAUCAUCUGCUCGCUUACGGACAAACUUUCCCUAAAUGAUUCAGGUGAUUUUUUUUUUUUUUUAGUUCUACCAGUUUAUUUCUAGCAACCCAUCUCCCUCCACCCUCCUCAGGCAUGCGUACUCAGUCAUGUAACCCCAUGGACUACAGCCUACCAGGCUCCUAUGUCCCUGGACUUUUCCAGGCAAGAAUACUGGAGUAGGCUGCCAUUUACUUCUUCACAAGUGAUUUGUUUUUAAUACUUCUGACUUUUACAUCUGAUUUUUUUCUAUUGGUGUAUAACUGAUUCAAAAUGUUGUUUUAGUUUCAAAUGUACAGCAAAGUGAAUAAGUUAUAUAUAAACACAUAUCACCACCCUUUUUUAGAUCUUCUCCCCAUAUAGACCAUUUAUAUAGAGUGUUGCGUAGAGUUCCGUGCUACACGGUAGGUCUUAUUAGUUACCUAUUUUAUAUAUGGUAGUUUGACUGUCAAUCCCAGUCUCCCAAUUUAUCCAUUUCUUGCCCCUUAUCCCCUAGUAACUAUAAGUUUGUUUGCUACAUCUGUGACUCUAAUUCUGUUUUGUAAAUAGGCUCAUUCAUACCCAUUUAAUUUAAAGAUUCUGCAUACAAGCAAUAUCACAUGAUGUGUGUCUUUCUCUGUAUGACUUAUGUCACUUGGUAUGACAGUCUGUAGGUCCAUCCAUGUUGCUGCAAAUGUAAUUAUUUAAUUAUUUUUUAGCUGCAUAAUAUUCCGUUGUCUAUCGGUACCAUAUCUUCUUUAUCCAUUCCUCUGCUGAUGAAUAGGUAGAUGGCCUCCACGUCCUGGCUAUUGUAAAUAGUGUUGCAAUGAACAAAGUGCAUGUAUCUUUUAAAAUUAUGGUUUCCUUCUGGUAUAUGCUUAGGAAUGGGAUUGCUGGGUCAUAUGUAGUUCUAUUUGUAAGGAACUCCAUGCUGUUCUCAAUAGUGGCUGUGCCAGUUUACACUCCCACCAACUGGGUGAGAGGGCUGCCUUUCCUCCAUACCCUCUCUAGCAUUUACUGUUUGUAGAUCUUUUGAUGAUGGCCAUUCUGACCAGUGUGAGGUGAUACCUCAUUGUAGCUUUUGAUUUGUGUUUAUCUAAUAAAUAGUAAGUGAUGUUGAGCAUCUUUUCAUGUGCUUCUUGGCCACCUAUUAUGUCUUUGAAGAAAUGUCUGUUUAGAUGUUCUGCCCGUUUUUAAAUUAUUUUUUUUUUAAUAUUGAGCUGUAUGAGUUGUUUCAAGGAUUAAUCUUUUGUCAGUUGCUUCAUUUGCAACUAUUUUCUCCCAUCCUGAGGGUUGUCUUUUUGUUUUAUGGUUUCCUUUGCUGUGUAAAUGCUUUUAAAAGUUGAAUUAGAUCCCAUAUAUUUUUGUUUUUGUUUUCAUGACUCUAGAAGGUAGGUCAAAAAAAGGAUCUUGCUCUGAUUUAUGUUGAAGAGUGUUCUGCCUGUGUUUUUCUCAAAGAGUUCUAUAAUGUCCUGUUUCUAAGCGUUUAUCCAUUUCUUUUAGAUUAUCCAAUUUGUAGAUAUGUGAUUGUUCCCAAUAGUCUCUUAGGAUCCUUUGUAUUUCUGUGGUAUCCACUGUAAUGUUUCCUCUUUUUCAUUUAUAAUAUUAUCUAUUUCAGUCUUUUUCUUAAUCUGGCUGAAAGUUUGUCAGUUUUAUCUUUCAAAAAACCAGCUUUUAAUUUCAUUGAUCGUUUCUGUACUUUUCCUGGUCUCCAUUUCAUUUAUUUAUGUUAUCCCCUUCCUUCUGCUAAACGUGGGCUGUUUCUUUUCUAGUUCCUUAAGGGAUAAAGUUAGGCUGCUUGAGAUCUCUUUUUUAAAUGUAGACAUUUAUUGCUAUAACAUUUUCUUAAAACUGCUCUUGCUGUAUCCCAUAGGUUUUGGUAUGUUGUGUUUUGUGUUACAUUCAAGGUGGGUUUUUAAUUUUCUUUUUGGUUUCUUCUGUGACCCAUUGUUUGUUUAGGAGUAUGUUGUUGGAUUUCCAGUUAUUUGUGAAAAUUUCAGCUUUCUUCUUGUUAUUGAUUUCUAGUUUUAUACCAUUGUGGUUGGGAAAGAUAUGAUUUCCAUCUUAAAUUUGCCACGACUUGUUUGCCAGGUCAUAAGACCUCUCAUGUGACCUGUUGUGGAGAAUGUUCUGUGUGCAUUUAAGAAGAAUGUGUAUUCAGUCUGUUGGAUGGAAUGUUCUAUAUGUAUCUGUUUGAUUAAUUGGAUCUGAAGUAUGGUUCAAAAAAACCCGAAUGUUUCUUUGGUUUUCUGUCUAGAUCUAUCUUUUGUUAAAAGUGGAACAUUGAAGUCCUCAUCUAUUACUGUAUCGUUGUCUAUUUCUCCUUUCAGAUUUUUGUUAAUAUAGCAAUCCCUGCUCGCUUGUGGUUUUCACUUGCAUGAGUAUCUUUUCCUACACCUUCACUCUGAGCCUGUGUGUGUCCUUAAAACUGAAGUGAGUCUCUUGUAGGCAGCAUACAGUUGAGUCUUGUUUUUUUAAUCCCACCAGCCACUCUUUGUUUUUAUUUGAGAAUUCAAAGAUUCAUAUUUGAAGAAGUUAUUGAGAGGUAAAGACUAACUAAUGCCAUCUUUUUGUUUUCUGGCUGUUUUGAGGUCAUUUGUUACUUUCUUCAUCUAUUGCUACAUACCUUUGUGAGAUGUGAGAUGACUUUCCAUAGUGAUAUGUUUUAAUCUGGGCUUCCCCUGUGGAUCAGAUGGUAAAGAAUCCUCCUGCAAUGCAGGAGACCCAGGUUCAAUCCCUGGGUCAGGAAGAUCCCCUUCAGGAGGAAGUGGCAACCCACUCCAGUAUUCUUGCCUGGAAAUUCCAUGGACAGAGGAGCUUGGUGGGCCACAGUCCAUGGGGUCACAAAGAGUUGGACAUGGCUGAAUGACUAACACAACAAUGCUUUAAUUUCCUUCUCUUUAUGAAUCAACUGUAGGCCUUUGCUUUGUUAUUACCAUGAGGCUUACAUAAAGUAACUUAUAGAUUUAUUAGUCUACUUUAGGCUGAUAAUUUGAGUGCAAAACCCUUUUACUUUCUCUAUGUUUUUAUGUCAAAUUUACAUAUAUUAUGUAUUCAUCAACAAAUUACUAUAGCUAUAACUUUUUAAAAAUACUUUUGUCAUGUAGCUUUUAUACUAGCAUUAAAUAACACACCACCAUAUUAGAGUAUUCUGAAUCUAACUAUAUACUUCUCUUGACCAGUAUUCUGUGUAUUUUUAUAUGUUUUCAGGUUACUAAUUGGCAUCCUUCAUUUCAGCUUGAAAAAUUCCUUUCAGCAUUUUCUGUAAGUAAAGUCUAGUGGUGGUAAACUUCCUCAGUUUUUCUUUGUUAGGCAAAGUAUCUCACCUUCAUUUCUGAAGGAAAAAAUUUCAUAGGUAAAGUAUUCUUGGUUGGCAGUUUUUCUUCCUUAGUACUUGAAUAUAUUAUCCUAUUCUCUUAUGGCUUAUAAGGUCUCUACUGAGAAAUCUGCUGAUUUCCUGACGGGCGUUCCCUUUUAUGAGACUUUUUUUUUCUCUUGCUGCUCUAAAAUUUUUUAUUUUAGACAAUUUUCAAUGUAUCUUGGGAAGAUCAUUUUAGAUUGAAAUUUUGGCAUAACCUAUUAGUUUCAAGAACUUGGAAGUCCAAAUUUCUCCCCAGUUUGAGAAAUUCUCAGCCAUUAUUUCUAAGUAAUUUUUCUACCUAUUUCUCCAAGUCCUCUCCUUCUAUAACUCCAGUGAUACAUACAGUGUUUCUCUUACUGGUGUCCCCUAAGUCCUAUAAGUGUUCUUCCGUCCUUUUCAUUCUUUUUUCUUUCUGCUUCUCUGAUUAGAUAAUUUCAAUUGAUCUGUCUCAUUGAUUCUUUGUCUUGUUCAAGUCUGAUAAUGAAGGUCUCUGUUGAAUUUCUCAAUUCAGUCAUUGUAUCCUUCAGCUCCAAAAUUUUCUUUUUCAGAUUUUCUAUUCUUUUAUGUACAUCUUAAUUGUUUUUAUACUGUUUUCCAGAUACCAUUCAAUUGUUUGCUCUCUUAUAGCUCUCCAAGUAUCUUUAGACAAUUAUUUUAAAUUCUUUAUCAAGAAAUUCCUGGGUCUCCAUUUCUUUAGGGCUAGUUACUUGAAAUUUACUAGAUUCCUUGGAUGGGGACAUAUUUCCGUGAUUCUGUGUGAUCCCUGUCGUCUCUCCUAGGUGUCUUGUGCCUUUGAUGAAGCAGUCACCUCCUCUUCCAGACAUUAUGGAUUGAUUUUGGUAAGUGAAGACUUUCACACCUGGAAGGGUUGGGGGGGAGCAGAACACACUGUGACCCCAGGUCAGGGGUGCAGGGUAACAAGGUCAUGUGAUGGCAUUGGGUCCAGGAGCGGGGCAGGGUCAUGGUGGUGAUCUCUUUGGUUCAGGUUGCCGGCAUCUAUAGCAUCAACAACUGAGUGGUCCUUGAUGAAUGCUGCAGCGAGUCCACAAAGGCUGCAGUGGCUGUUGGGGUCCUUAGCAGCACCCCUAGGUCCAAGGAGCAGGACCGGUGGUGGCGAGUGGAAGCAGUGGUGUACACGCACACACCUGUGGGGGUCAGCUCUAGACGCCUAUGUAGUGGCAGGGGCCAGUCGUAGACACACACCUAGUCUUGGGUGCCAGGGCAGGCAGAAAGGGCCAGGGCCCACUGUGAGCACCCUGGCAGCUGCAAGGGUCCCUGGAUGUCUGCAUGUUCUCCCAUGGCCGCACAGUCUUCCCUGGGUGUGUAUGCAGCUAGGGAGUUGCCUCCAGUAACAGGAAUCAAGCUGGCAGUGGACAAGUGCACAGCUGGAGGAGCUAGCCCCAAGUACACACACAGUGAUAGAGCAUCUAGGCUGCUGCCGUGUACUCACAUAGAGGCCUGGACCAGCUGCUGGUGAGGUCCCUGGGCUCUAGCAGGGGCCAGAGUGGGGCAGGCUGGGGAGAAAAUAGGAAGGGACUCGGGGGCUGAUGUCAGUGAAUGCAAAUGCCUGUGGAGUCCAUGGUGGUUGUGCUGUCUCUUGGUUUCUUCAGUGGUGAAAGCUGCUGGAAUAUCUGUGGGGCAGGUGGCUAGGCACUCCAGUUGCUCCUGCUAUGUGCCUGCUUCUGGGAGCCCCUGCUUUUUUUUCUUGUUCCUAGACACAUCUCUCAGUAUCUCAGCUUUGCCCGUCUCUGGGUAACGUGAAACUAAAGUGGAACCUUCAUGAGGUGACCCAAAAGGCUGGGGAAGCUGGUCACUCACCCCGCUCCCCCUUUCUUCUUUCUAGCUAGAAGCUCCCUCUUGGCGCUGAGCACUGCUGGCUUUGGGCAUAGGAAGAUGCAGAAAGAAUGAAGCUGUCUUCCCCUUUCUGUGGGGUUAUUCUCAGGUUUGAUGUUCAACUGCAUCGCUGAAGUUUAAGCAGACUCCACAGCUGUUUAUGCUCAUGGACAGAUGUCUACAUGUUGAUUUCUGUGGAAGAAUGGAGACUAGGGAUCCUGCACUGCAUUUUGGUGGCAUCGCCUCCAGUCCUGCAACUCAGGAACAGUCAGAUAGAAGAGACCACAUAGAGCAAGAUGCUGAAAGUUCUCACAAUGCAGACAAUGUACUGCUUUCCUGACAAAGAUAAAGCCUGUAAAACAAAGAAUGUUGCCUGCCUUCCAGUUCUACAGGUAUCAAGUCAUAAGCCAAUGCAGUCACUGAAAGGAAUGAAAGAAAUCAGCAGUUGCAGAAAUCAUGAAUGGACCCAGUGCAGACUUUUCCCCUUCAUCUGAACUCUCCAAGGCACUAGCAAGGGCCCUUGUGUCUGUCCACCUUCCUGGUGAGUCUAGACGAAUUUGGCUGAGUGUCUCUUGUCUUGCUUGACGAUCUUGAGUUUUAUUCAGUAGUAAGUAAGAAAGGUAACCGACUUUUCAUUUGUAAGAUAUUGAGAAAGUGCCCAGUGGUGCUUAAGUAGGAGGUUGAUCUGAUGUCUUUCCUCAAAUCAUCUUUGAUUUCCUGUUGUCUUUUCUGUUCUAUCUUAACAGAAUUUCUUGGAUAAAAGUGAAGACACCAUAUGAGAGCCUUCAGCUCCAAAGGUAAGGGACACAGCUCUUCCUGGCCAGUUACAACUUUCUCAGGCAACUGAGGAACUUGAGUUGUGGCAGAGGCAAGUCCUCAUAGUGUGCAGCAGUCUCGAGGGAAACCCACUCAUUAAUUUACAAAUUCAUUAACCCAGAGACACAUAUAUAAAAAUUGGCCAUUCAGUGCUCAGAGCACCCCCACCAGUUUUAGACUGCCAGCAGGAGAAAACAAGACACACAGAAGAGAUGAAACGACUCUAGGGUGACACUUUGAAGAAUUAAGCCCAUAAACCACACAUUGGCCCACCACAGUUUUCAAUAGUGAUUUUACUCUGAUAAACCAACUUUCAAAUGAGAAAGAGCCUCCUAAACAGAAGAAAAUGGGGUGUCAGAUGACCCCUGACUAAUACCCCAAAUUAGGUUUACAUAUGUAUAGAACUUAUACUUUUAAGUACUUAACUAGGAACUAAGGAAAUCCUCUCUGAAAUGGCCAAGGUGCAGCUCUUUUUGACAUUCCAAAACCCGUUUCUGCAUAAGCAGUUAGAGAAAGCCACCUUGAUGAAACAUAUUUUCAAAAUUCUAAGGGCAAAAACUCCUUCUAGGAGGAAUCUGCAUUUUUCUCCUUGCAUCUUUGAGAUAUACAGGUUCUACCAGAAUGCUCAAGAAUUCUUCCCUUACUCUUAUUUAAACCAUCUCUAAUUCCUGGGACUGAGGGGGGGAAAAUAGGCCUUUAAAAUCCAAGCAAGGGACUUCCCUGGUGGUCCACUGUAAGACUCUGAACUAUGAAUGCAGGGGGCCUGGGUUUGAUCCCCGGUUAGGGAACUAGAUCCCACAUGCCACAACUAAGAGUUCCUGUGCCACAAGUAAAGAUUCCACAUGCCAAAGUGAAGAUUGAAGACCCUGUGUGCUGCAGCUUAGAACCAGCACAGGCAAAUAAAUAAAUAAAUAUUCAACCCAAGUGACUUAAACUUAUUCCAACUGUUAUUUAUAAACUAGUGAGUUUUAUAUUGUAAUACUUGAUUCAUGACUAAGUUUUAAAAUGAAGCUAUGAGAUCUCUGGUUAUAUCUAUCUAUAUGUCUGUGUGUACAUUAUAGAUAAAUGUCUCUACUUCUGAAUGGUAUUGCCAAAAUUAAUUUGUAGAAGAGCUCUCUACUUAGUUGACUUAAAGGAAAUUAAACACCUACAUAAAGUCUCAAAAAUAUAGGAGAAAUUAAUCCAAAUGAAUUUCAGGUCACAUGAUCUGGUAAAUAUUUAGUUUUAAGUUAAUAUUCAGUACUAAACUUAGUUUAAGUUUGCUAGUUUAAUUAAUACAGACUCUUUAAAGUCAUCCACAUUAGGAGUAAUACUUGUACCGAGGUUUACUAAAAGUCAUCUAAGAUCUCAUUUCCAUUAUAAAAUUUGUCAGCAAGAAAAAUAACCUGGUAUAUUAUGGAAUUUUUAUGAGUAAAUUAACUGUAAAUGAGAUGACAGUUUUUAGGUCACUUUAGGAAUAAUUAUACUUUAUGGUCUGUUGUUAGUUGUUAAGUCAUGUGUGACUCUUUGCAACCCCAUGGGGUGUAGCCUGCGAGGCUCCUCUGUCCACGGGAUUUUCAAGGCAAGAAUACUAGAAUGAGUUGCCCUUUCCUUCUCCAGGGGAUCUUCCCAACCCAGGGAUUAAACCCACAUCUCCUGCAUUGGCAGGUGGAUUCUUUACUACUGAGCCACCAGAGAACCCUUGUUUUUUAUGGUAUGUUUACUGAAAAACCGCUUCUCCAAAUAUUUGGUUAUUUGAAACUUUAGAGUUUUGCUAAAUUAUGUUAAAUGAUGAAAGUUCAUUGAAUAUCUAAAUCAUUCCAAAAUAAAAUCAGAUACUGAAACAUUAAUUACUGAACAUAGAUUUCCCUGUACAGAGAAAAUAAAGAUAUUCAGGACUACUAAUAAAUACGCUUGGUGCCACAUGGAGACAUUUUCUAUAAGAAAGCACUUUUUUUUUUUUAAAGAAAUUACAAACAGUAUUCAUAAAUUUGUCAGUCUACAGAAUGCUAAAAGUUUAAAACUUUUAAACUUUUAAAACUGCUUAUUUCUUAGUUUUCACUAGAAAUUAAGAGUUGAGAAUUCUAGCUAAUAUAUGUAAUUAAAACUAAUAAAAUUAAUAAGAGAAACAUCUUUGUAUGCAAGGAAAAAAAACAAGCUAUAAGGAACAGAAAUGCAUUCUGUUAAGGGAAAAGAGAGUAAUUUGUCCUGAAGAAAGGUUAAAAAGAGAGAAAGAGAAAAAGAAGUAUGGAGGUUCUUUAAAAAAACAAAAAUAGAGCUAUCAUAUGAUCCAGCAACCCCACUCCUGGGUAUAUAUCAGAGAAAACCAUAACUCACAAAGAUACGUGCACCCCAAUGUUCAGUGCAGCACUAUUUACAACAGUCAGGACAUGGAAGCAAACUAAAUGUCCAUUGACAGAGAAUAGAUAAAAGGUGUGAGAUAUACACACACACACACAUACACACACACACACGAAUAUUACUUAGUCAUCAAAAAGAAUGAAUUUACGCCGUUUGCACCAACAUGGAUGGACCCAGAGAUUGUCACACUGAGUGAAGCAGUCAGACAAAGAAAAUAUCAUAUGAUAUUGCUUAUAUGUGGAAUCUAAAAAAUGGCACAAAUUAACUUAUUUACAAAAUAUCUUGAGUCAGAGAUACAGAAAACAAACCUAUGGUUACCAGUGGGGAAGAUAAAUCGGGAGAUUGGGAUCGACAUAUAAAUACUACUAUAUUUAAAAUAGGUAACUAUUAAUAAUAAGGACCUAGUGCACGGCACAGGAAACUCUACUCAAUACUCUGCAAUGACCUACAUGACAACAGAAUCUAAAAAAGAUUGCAUAUAUGUAUAACUGACUCACUUUGCUUACAGCAGAAACUAAUACCAUCUUGUAAAUCAACUACGCUCCAAUACCAUUUCUCAAAGAAAAAGAGAGGGAGAAAGUAUAGGAAGAAAUCUAAAGGUUAAAAAAGGAAGUCAUAGAAUGAUGUAAAAAGAAACAGAGAAAAGAGUUUUGUGCAUGGUCUGGACUGGCUAAGAUAAGAAUAAACUUAGCUGAGUUAAUGAAUUACAAUGUUAAAGGUAAGAUGGUGCAAAACUAGAAUUUGGCUCCCUGUUAAGAGGACAAAGUUUUCUUGGAGUUUUGGUAUAAUUUUGAUAACAGAUUUUGAAGUUUUUUUUACUUCUUAAGUAAUCUGUUGUAACUUUCUAUAUUUGCCUUUGAAUCUUUGUCACUUUGGUUAAGUGGCAAGUAUUAUUUCACAGUGACCUAUAAUUCUAUUUGACCAAGAGUUUUAAAAACUCUUGAUAUCUUUGACAAAAUUCCUCAUAUUGAUUUCUAAAUGAAGUUCUUUUGACCUGUAGAUAACUUUGGGAUGCUCCAGAGGGCCCCUGAAACAUUUUUGAGAGAAAUAUUAAACUAAUUGGGCUUAUUUGAUAUGUUAAAUUACAUGGCUAGUAUAAUCAAAUGAAAAUAAAUAAAAUUUAAUAUUCUAAUAGUGUGUAAAAAUGACCAAAUUUCCUUGACAAAUGCAUUAUAAUCAAGUCUUUAACUGCUUUUUGAAAGUCUUUUGUCAUCAAUAUACAAUUACUCUUUUACUCUGAUGGUUUACAAAAAUGCUUUAUCUCCAAGUAGACAUAUAGAAAGGGUUUUUUGACAAUCAUAGGUUUCUGGUAACUUUCAAAUCAUACUGCCUAACUGGGUAAGAAAUUAAAGAACAUGAAUGCAAAACCUGAUGGCUUCAUAAAACUGUAAACAGAGAAUCAAGAAUUAGUAACAUGGAACUGAAUGAACUGAUGAGGAUGGCUAUAACUUUUAAGUCUCUGAAAAAUUACUGCUGAUUCUUUUUAAUGUUUUGUUUUCCCAGAUUUGAGAAAACUUUUUCUCUUUCCUCUUAUGCUAAUUAUGAUUUAUAGCAGUUUGGUAAAUUAUACCUUUGUAAGCAGAAUUGAAAUAUUUAUCACUUCUCUGAUUUCUCCAGAAUUUGGAAACUCUUGGUGAGUAUUCUUAUUUUCAUGGCAAUAUAAUUAUUUGCACAAUUUCUAUAAGAAUCUGUUCUCUUUAUAACAGAAGAUAAUUGGAAACACUAGCUAUAUUACCAUAAAUUUGGAUGGGAUGUCAUAUUUGAGACUACACAAAAAUCAGACAUGGCCAGACAACUCCAAAGAUCUGAGGUGGCCUUAAUGGAACCAUAAAGCUCCUUUGAAAAACAACCUAGUAUUUUGCGUAUAGGAUUCCUAGAAGCCUUAUCAGGUGAAUAAGGGUGGCUACUUCCUGGCAGGUGCAUGGAUCUCAAGAUUUUUUGUGGACCUGAAGAGGAGAGGAACCUGCCCAAAUCUGUAGAUUUUGCAGGCAGAAUCUGAUGCCUAGUCCUUGACAUAGCUUUUCCGGCCUCAGGGACCUUUUAAAUGUUCAAUCUGAGAUUCCUUAUGAAGAGAUUCAGCAAAAGCAAUUUCAAAGAGCCUAUAUGAUCUUAAUUUGGCCAUAAUUGGGAGAAAUGAGGGUAAUUUUAGACAGAAAAAAUUUAUUUCAGUGAAUAUUAAUUUCUAGUGUUCUUAACUGUUUUUGUGGUUUAUAUUUACUGCCUAAGACUCAACUUCCUAUAUGGCUCCUUGUUAAUAUGUUGUAUUAUUAUAAGAUUUAAUUGAAUUAUUAAAAGGACAUUCUAAAUUUAUUUCUGAAGCUUACCACAGUAAUCUAUGUUUGCAUGAAGAUAGAUGCCCCAUGACCUGCAACCAGGAGAUUAUAUACUAGAAAGACAUCAUUCAAAGGACUCUCUCCAACCUAGAUAAAAGGACCCCACCAGGUAUUCAUGACUAGCUUAUACACAGUGAAACUAAAGGGAAAUGAUCCUUGGGUUUACAUUUCCCACUGAAAAGGAGCCCUGCACCAGACUGGUCUAUAGAGAGAGCUCCUGAUCGCAAAAUCCCCUUGAAACAACACUCAGAGGAGAAACUACAUCCUCACCAGGCCGAGAAGACAACAGCAGGAGUACACAGCAAUGUUAAAAUGCCAGACCAGACCCAUAUGAUCAUUUAUAGUGUUUUGUUGAUUUCUUGGACCUUUUGCAUACAAAUCAAUUUUUUUUAAUCAUGAACAAUAAUCCUAUACAAUUUAAAAAAUCAAUCCAAUUUUCAGACUUGUAGUCACUUACCUGUGUCCAGUACUUCUGGUUUACUUUGGUGGAUUUCUUACCUCCAAGGCUCUAACUAGAUGGCCCUUGGAAAAAUUUAUUUUAGAAGAAAGAAGUUAUAGGGCCACUAAUGAUAUUACUAGAUGGGAAUCCCUCACUUGGCUAAUCAAUCAUACUUUUUCUGACCCUGGCUAUAACAUGAAUUCUCUUUUAAAGUUAUUCAAGCUCAAUCAGGACAAUGAGCUAAAUUUCAAAGAAUGUAACUACCCACUUACUAGAAAAGACCCUCCCUCAAUUAUGGGAUGGAUUUAUACAGCUAACACUGGGCUACAAUCAUUUAAGUUUAAAGGCCUGCCUAUGUCGAGAACAAUUAAAUCAUAUUAAAGAUAACCAGUCAAAUAACAACAGAAAAUUAAGCUGAGUGCCUUAUGAACAAUGCCAACAUAUUAUUUCCCUUAAAUACAGCAAUUAGUAUGAAACAGACUGGGUCAGGUGACCAGAAAUACUGACUCCAACAAAUUUACCACAUAUACAAGCCUGAUGGAUCAAGAGAUCUGUAUUUCACUGGUCUGACCAUUUAGCAGCUAUUUCUGUGCCUUCAGUAGGAUUGGAAGAUGUAACCACCCAGAUCAAAGCCUUCACAAAAUUCACCCAACAGGCGUUAAAUGAUAGUAAUCAGGCUAUUAGCUUACUCAAUUUUGAGAUCUCUGUGAUGAAAAAAAAGCAGUAUUAUAAAACACAUGGCCCUCAAUAUCUUUAUAGCAUCUCACAGAGGCAGGCACCUACAGGUCGUAAUUCAAACCAAAUGCUGCAUCCUUAUGCCAGAUGAAUCCUCCAAUAUUACCCAUUUAAUGACUCACAUGAAUCUGAUUUCUGCCUUAAGUGAUCUACUUCCUGGUCUUGGUGGUCUACUAAGGAGCUAGUUUCGUUCUGGGAGCUCAUGCACAAAUCACUACUGUGGUCUUAUUAAUGUUAUUAGCUGUAUUACUUACAUCCUGCAUAAGGUGGCUGUUUCUUGCAUUACCCAACAUGUCACAAGAUCUUCGAGAAAACUAAUGAUGGCUCAACAUCUUGAGGCAACUGAUCAUGUAUACAUUCCUAUACAAGGGCUUCCCAGGUGGCUCAGUGGUAAAGAAU